rnacentral:rRNA from 1 species
UGGGGAAUCUUCCGCAAUGGACGAAAGUCUGACGGAGCAACGCCGCGUGAGUGAUGACGGCCUUCGGGUUGUAAAGCUCUGUUAAUCGGGACGAAUGGUUCUUGUGCAAAUAGUGCGAGGAUUUGACGGUACCGGAAUAGAAAGCCACGGCUAACUACGUGCCAGCAGCCGCGGUAAUACGUAGGUGGCAAGCGUUGUCCGGAAUUAUUGGGCGUAAAGCGCGCGCAGGCGGAUUGGUCAGCCUGUCUUAAAAGUUCGGGGCUUAACCCCGUGAUGGGAUGGAAACUGCCAAUCUAGAGUAUCGGAGAGGAAAGUGGAAUUCCUAGUGUAGCGGUGAAAUGCGUAGAUAUUAGGAAGAACACCAGUGGCGAAGGCGACUUUCUGGACGAAAACUGACGCUGAGGCGCGAAAGCAAGGGGAGCGAACGGG